rnacentral:rRNA from 1 species
AUUGAACGCUGGCGGCAGGCCUAACACAUGCAAGUCGAGCGGAUGAAGGGAGCUUGCUCCUGGAUUCAGCGGCGGACGGGUGAGUAAUGCCUAGGAAUCUGCCUGGUAGUGGGGGAUAACGUCCGGAAACGGGCGCUAAUACCGCAUACGUCCUGAGGGAGAAAGUGGGGGAUCUUCGGAUCUCACGCUAUCAGAUGAGCCUAGGUCGGAUUAGCUAGUUGGUGGGGUAAAGGCCUACCAAGGCGACGAUCCGUAACUGGCCUGAGAGGAUGAUCAGUCACACUGGAACUGAGACACGGUCCAGACUCCUACGGGAGGCAGCAGUGGGGAAUAUUGGACAAUGGGCGAAAGCCUGAUCCAGCCAUGCCGCGUGUGUGAAGAAGGUCUUCGGAUUGUAAAGCACUUUAAGUUGGGAGGAAGGGCAGUAAGUUAAUACCUUGCUGUUUUGACGUUACCAACAGAAUAAGCACCGGCUAACUUCGUG